UACGAAGGGUGCAAACGUUGCUCGGAAUUAUUGGGCGUAAAGCGCACGUAGGCGGCUUGGCAAGUCGGAUGUGAAAUCCCUCGGCUCAACUGAGGAACUGCCUUUGAAACUGUCGGGCUUGAGGCCGGGAGGGGGUAGCGGAAUUCCCAGUGUAGCGGUGAAAUGCGUAGAUAUUGGGAGGAACACCGGUGGCGAAGGCGGCUACCUGGACCGGUUCUGACGCUGAUGCGCGAAAGCGUGGGUAGCAAACAGG
rnacentral:rRNA from 1 species